rnacentral:lncRNA from 1 species
AAAAGAUGGCGGACAAGGCAAAAUGAAAAUUUAUCUGAAAUAGUAAGCUCGAAGGGAAAAGGUCACAGAAGGAUCUCUGGCUUGGCGAAGCCUCUUGUGGUAUGCAAAACAGAGGCCCUUCUUUAUGGAAGCUGUGUGUCCCAGAAAGACAACAUUACCAAGCAUGCCUGUGAUAAGGAGUUUCAAGCACUUAAAGACUGUAUAAGACAAGCAGUAAAGAAAAUUUAA